ACGGAGGAUCCAAGCGUUAUCCGGAUUUAUUGGGUUUAAAGGGUGCGCAGGCGGAUCAAUAAGUCAGGGGUGAAAAAUUUCAGCUUAACUGGAAUCGUGCCUUUGAUACUGUUGGACUAGAGUAUAAUUGACGUGACUGGAAUGUGAUGUGUAGAGGUGAAAUGAUUAGUCAUGUCACACAAGCCCAAUCGUGGAGACAUGUCACGAAAUUAUAACUGCCGCUCAUGCACGUAAGCGUGUAGAUGAAAGAG
rnacentral:rRNA from 1 species